GAUGAACGCUAGCGGCAGGCCUAAUACAUGCAAGUCGAACGGUGUCUUCGGACAUAGUGGCGCACGGGUGCGUAACACGUAUGCAACCUACCUUACAUUGGGGGAUAGCCUUUCGAAAGGGAGAUUAAUACCGCAUAAGACAGUAGCUGGGCAUCCAGCAGCUGUUAAAGAUUUAUCGAUGUAAGCUGGGCAUGCGUCCAAUUAGCUAGUUGGUGAGGUAACGGCUCACCAAGGCAAUGAUUGGUAGGGGAACUGAGAGGACGACCAGCCACACUGGGACUGAGACACGGCCCAGACUCCUACGGGAGGCAGCAGUGGGGAAUUUUGGACAAUGGGCGCAAGCCUGAUCCAGCAAUGCCGCGUGCAGGAAGAAGGCCUUCGGGUUGUGAACUGCCUUUGUACGGAGUGAAAAGGCUCUCUCUAAUACGGGGGGCUCAUGACGGUACCGUAAGAAUAAGCACCGGCUAACUACGUGCCAGCCGCCGCGGUAAAAC
rnacentral:rRNA from 1 species